rnacentral:rRNA from 1 species
AGGACGAACGCUGGCGGCGUGCUUAACACAUGCAAGUCGAGCGGAAAGGCCCUUCGGGGUACUCGAGCGGCGAACGGGUGAGUAACACGUGAGCAACCUGCCCUUAGCUUCGGGAUAGCUCCGGGAAACCGGAAUUAAAUACCGAAUAUGACUGCGGCUGACAUCAGCCACGGUGGAAAGUUUUUCGGCUAGGGAUGGACUCGCGGCCUAUCAGCUUGUUGGUGAGGUAACGGCUCACCAAGGCGACGACGGGUA